CGAUGUAAGGGCAAUCUGGCUGCGACAUCUGUCACCCCAUGGAUCAUCAGGGUUGAUCUGAAUGAUCUGGCUGGCCAAAACGGUGCCUCCUUUGUCCCUUACCACUCCACGAAGCUGCACACCCAGUUGAAGGGGAUGACCUUCCUUGCUAGAGGAUCUGCACUCCCCUGCUAGAUCUCCAAACAAGAUCUCAAGAGUGUGGACUCUGCCAUAACUUCAUACUUUAAAGACUGUAAAGAUUAAAUAAGCUAAAACACAUAUACAGUUUAUGUAAAAAGCACCUAAAAAUUAGU
rnacentral:snRNA from 1 species